GUCUUCCCUUUGGAAGCACAUAUACUAAAAUUAAAAUGAGGGACCUGAGCAUGGUCCCUGAGCAAGGAUGACAUGCAAAAAUCUAUGAAUCUUUUUACAUUUUC